GACAAAGUAAACCUUCAGUAGUAGUUUUUGGUUUAUAUGUAAUCUGCAUUUUGAAAUGGAGAAUGGAAAAAUGUGAAUUGAACUUUUUUUUCCAGUGAAUCAUCUUAACUUGAGAAAUAAGUUGAACUAAUAGUUGUGUGGAGUAUUUUGGAACACAUUCAAAAAAGUUGGUGUAAAUUUACUUGGAGAGUAUUCCUAAGGUCAAAUGGCGUUGUCCCCACAGAUAUGUAUUUCCUAGUUCUCUAUUUGCAUUUCUGUCUGUGUAUAUGACAGAUGAAUUAGUUGUGAAAUUGCAUGUGUUAUGCAUGCAUCAUGUCCUGGUAUUUUUUUUUUCUCUCUAAGUAUUGUAUAAUGGAAACUUCACACGUGUGGUUAAAUUACAUUUCAAGUAAUAGGGGUUAUAUUUGUUUCUUAGAAAUUUCAGAGUUUUACAGUUAAGAAAACAUGGAAAAAUACCAUUUUCACAAUGAAUUUAUAAAUAUACUUUAUGAAAGCCAGAAGGUCCUUUCCACCCAACAUUUUUCCAUUUUGCUAUUUCUGGAUAAUCUCAUCAACUGGGGAUUAUCUUCUCUUAUGGGCUCUAUCAAUAAAAAGCAACAUCUAGUUUAAAGGAGAUAUAAAGCACUAUUUAUUGAAAAAUGGUUUUGCAUUUAAGCAGGGUUAGGUACCUAGACUGCUCCUGUCAGAUUCACAGAUCUGAAAAUGUGAAUGAAAGUACAUCUUCUGCAUUUGUGACCUUCAGCAAGAGCAAAAGUAAACUGAAGGUAAACAGCUUAGUGACAUUUCAAAGGUGGCAUGCUCUAGCAAAAAUACCCUGGAAGCAGAUGAGUAUACUUGUACAGUACAACAUCUCCUCCUUCCCCCGAGCACAUGAGAGAUUGCAUGCUUCUUUGGAGAAUUAAAUAUGCUUUGAUGCCCCAGAAACAGCAUGAAGGGGACCAGAUUCUGCCAGAUGAAACAGAAGUGUAUGGAACAUGUAAGCAUGAAAGGCAAGCUGUAUAAAAAUACUGUAAAAAACACGCUUUUUUUUUUUCCUCUCUGAUAACUGAAAUGUAAGUUUCUGAAUUUGCAGCUGAGCUUCUCUAAUAUAUGCUGGUGUAUUUGGUUUACAUGGCAAGGUUUUGGUAGCAGGGAGGCUGCAGGGGUGGCCUCUGUGAGAAGAGCUCAUCGCCUACCCCAUGUUAGAUAAGGGACAGGGACCCCACAUGGAGCAGGAGCAGAGUGAUUGUGAAGGAGUGGUGGAGAUGAAGCCUCAGGGACUGACCGCAGCCCCCAUUUCCCGUUCCCCUGCGCUGCUCAGGGUGAGGAGGUAGAAGGGGAUGGAUGGAGGGAAGGUGUCUUUAGUUUGUUUUUAGUUUGUCACUGCUCUAGCUUGUUAAUAGUCAAUGAAUUAUAUUAAUCUUCCUGUGCUGAGUUUGUUUUGCCCAUGGCCAUUGGCGAGUGAUCUCCAUAUCCAUUCUAUUUUCUCCCCCUUUUCCUUUGAGGAGGGGGAGUGAGAGAGUGGUUGUGGUGGAGUUCAGAUGCCCAGCUGGGUAAAACCACCACAGCUGGUGACAAAAUGUUGGUCUCUGUGUAAAGAUGUACUGAAUUGAAAUGCUGUGGGUAUUUUUAUGACCAGAUGGUCUUGCUAGCAGAGCUCACAGCUGCAGUUAAGUUCAGCAGUUUAUGGAAUGAAGUAACUUGCUAGUGCUUUAGAGACCUGUGUUUAAGAGACCAGAAGGGAGUGAUAAAAAAAUAUAAAAUCUCACUAACAUGUUACUGUUUUAUUAUGUUUAUGUUAAUGCCUACCUUUACAGAACAAUCAGUUCCUAUGCUCUCUAUUACUAUGUUAUGUUCUUAUGAUUCCUGUAGGAUCUCAUUACAUAGUGUGCAACAGCUGAACAUGUUCCACUUCCAUGUGAG
rnacentral:lncRNA from 1 species